CCUACGGGGGACAGCAGUGAGGAAUAUUGGGCAAUGGGCGCAAGCCUGACCCAGCAACGCCGCGUGAAGGAAGAAGGCUUUCGGGUUGUAAACUUCUUUUGUCAGGGAAGAGUAGAAGACGGUACCUGACGAAUAAGCCACGGCUAACUACGUGCCAGCAGCCGCGGUAAUACGUAGGUGGCAAGCGUUGUCCGGAUUUACUGGGUGUAAAGGGCGUGUAGCCGGGUUGACAAGUCAGAUGUGAAAUCCUGCGGCUUAACCGCAGAACUGCAUUUGAAACUGUUGAUCUUGAGUACUGGAGAGGCAGACGGAAUUCCUAGUGUAGCGGUGAAAUGCGUAGAUAUUAGGAGGAACACCAGUGGCGAAGGCGGUCUGCUGGACAGCAACUGACGGUGAGGCGCGAAAGCGUGGGGAGCAAACAGGAUUAGAUACCCCAGUAGUC
rnacentral:rRNA from 1 species